UGCAAAGGGUGAGAGGGAAGGGCCACAUUAGAAAGUAACUAAUGAGUAUCAGCUGUAUCAUUGCAACACCUCUCCUGGUUGCCAUGAGCUGUUGGAGGUUUUUCUAGCAGAGACCUGCAGAUGAAUGAUGUAUUGCAAAGUAUCUGCUAGUGAAGACAGAAGAUGCUUAUGCUCAUAAUGAGGCGUAUGAUAUAUAAGAUACUGAAAAUGGAUGGAGGGGUUUUCCCCUAAGUAAUUACAAUUCAUGAUUACUGGGAACUUACAAGAGCAGAAACACUGAUUCCUCCUGCAGAUUCUCCAAAGAUAGUGACAGAUCCUGGAUCUCCUCCAAAAUGCAUGAUAUUUUCCUGAAUCCAGCGAAGAGCCGCCACUUGGUCUAAAUAUCCCCAGUUACCCCGGGCAUGCUCAUCACCAGUGCU